rnacentral:rRNA from 1 species
UACGAAGGGGGCUAGCGUUGCUCGGAAUCACUGGGCGUAAAGCGCACGUAGGCGGAUUGCUAAGUCAGGGGUGAAAUCCUGGAGCUCAACUCCAGAACUGCCUUUGAUACUGGCGAUCUCGAGUUCGGGAGAGGUGAGUGGAACUGCGAGUGUAGAGGUGAAAUUCGUAGAUAUUCGCAAGAACACCAGUGGCGAAGGCGGCUCACUGGCCCGAUACUGACGCUGAGGUGCGAAAAGCGUGGGGAGCAAACAGG